rnacentral:miRNA from 1 species
GGUCAGCUGACACAUCCCUGCCAAUCUCCGGCAGACCCUCCCUCCCAGACCCUCCUACUUCCUGGACAGCAUCCAUGUUGAAGGCAGCUUCAACAUGGAUGCUGUCCAGGAGGUGGGAGGGUCUGGGAGGGAGGGUCUGCCGGAGAUUGGCAUGGAUGUGUCAGCUG